rnacentral:rRNA from 1 species
GAUGAACGCUGGCGGCGUGCUUAACACAUGCAAGUCGAACGAUGAAGCCCAGCCUGCUGGGUGGAUUAGUGGCGAACGGGUGAGUAACACGUGAGUAACCUGCCCUUAACUCUGGGAUAAGCCUGGGAAACUGGGUCUAAUACCGGAUAGGAGCGUCCACCGCAUGGUGGGUGUUGGAAAGAUUUAUCGGUUUUGGAUGGACUCGCGGCCUAUCAGCUUGUUGGUGAGGUAAUGGCUCACCAAGGCGACGACGGGUAGCCGGCCUGAGAGGGUGACCGGCCACACUGGGACUGAGACACGGCCCAGACUCCUACGGGAGGCAGCAGUGGGGAAUAUUGCACAAUGGGCGCAAGCCUGAUGCAGCGACGCCGCGUGAGGGAUGACGGCCUUCGGGUUGUAAACCUCUUUCAGUAGGGAAGAAGCGAAAGUGACGGUACCUGCAGAAGAAGCACCGGCUAACUACGUG